UGCACCUGGUGGCGAGUGGCGAACGGGUGAGUAAUACAUCGGAACGUACCUUAUCGUGGGGGAUAACGCAGCGAAAGCUGUGCUAAUACCGCAUACGCCCUGAGGGGGAAAGCGGGGGAUCGAAAGACCUCGCGCGAUUAGAGCGGCCGAUGCCUGAUUAGCUUGUUGGUGGGGUAAAAGCCCACCAAGGCGACGAUCAGUAGCUGGUCUGAGAGGACGAUCAGCCACACUGGGACUGAGACACGGCCCAGACUCCUACGGGAGGCAGCAGUGGGGAAUUUUGGACAAUGGGGGAAACCCUGAUCCAGCAAUGCCGCGUGAGUGAAGAAGGCCUUCGGGUUGUAAAGCUCUUUUGUCAGGGAAGAAACACCGGCUCUAACACAGUCCGGGAAUGACGGUACCUGAAGAAUAAGCACCGGCUAACUACGUGCCAGCAGCCGCGGUAAUACGUAGGGUGCGAGCGUUAAUCGGAAUUACUGGGCGUAAAGCGUGCGCAGGCGGUUAUACAAGACAGGCGUGAAAUCCCCGGGCUUAACCUGGGAAUGGCGCCUGUGACUGUAUAGCUAGAGUGUGUCAGAAGGGGGUAGAAUUCCACGUGUAGCAGUGAAAUGCGUAGAUAUGUGGAGGAAUACCAAUGGCGAAGGCAGCCCCCUGGGAUAACACUGACGCUCACGCACGAAAGCGUGGGGAGCAAACAGGA
rnacentral:rRNA from 1 species